UCUGUCAAUGGGAAUGAAGUUCUCCCAAGGGAAUUUCCCUGAACUGCUGAACGAUAAGCUGAUGACUUCUACGAUUGU
rnacentral:ncRNA from 2 species